GCCCAAACUGCAGCGGGAUCGGCUCACGCUGGGACUAAGUCCUGUCCGGGCCCAGCUGCUGAGUCAGCAGGAAUCCUGCAAGGGCCCGAUUUGCAGGAAGAUUGGGGCCGGACGAGGAUGACAGCAGGCCAAGGACGCUGACCACAAAUAAAGCUUUCAUGAUAGAGAAUGAAUCCAUAGGAAACAUCCUGCAAGAAAUAUUUAUUCAGCAAAUGGCAUGUGGAAGCUGUUUCCCUGUGUUCCUAAGUCCCAGGCUGCGAGCACCACUCGCCUCCCUCGCGGUGUCUGGACAGCGGGAUGUCUUCCAGACUGGACUCCCUACCUCCCCGGCCCAAAGCUCCCAGGCCCAAAGCUCCCAUGCCUGAGCUCCUCAGCACUUGGAGAAGAGGUGGCAGCGGGGCAAACUGUCUCCAGACCACCACUGUAGGGAGAAGCAACCCGAUGCCAUGACACUGGCGGAGUGGAGAAAACAUUCCCACCACUGAGGAUUUUGCUAUGAGGGUUAUCAUGAUUAUGAUAUGACUAGCUACGAUUUACUGAGUUCCUUUAUGUUAGGCAUUGUAUUAUACCAUUUCCUCCUACGACCUGCUGGGUAAGUAGUGUUAUCGCCAUUUUCUAAAGGAAAAAACUGAGGCUCAGAGAGGUAACUAUGCUUUCAGCUGCAAGUUAUAAAACACCCACUGCAAGUGGCUGAAACAAUGAGAUUGUCUUAUUCUCUCUCAUGACAAUACAUCUGGAAGGAGGUCAUUCCAGGUCAGUUUCGCAGCUCAAGUGUCAUCAAAGAGCCGGUCUCUUUCCAUGUUUCUGCUUCAGCACUGUCAACUUAGGUGUGAUGACUCCCCAGCAAUGUUGUGCAGCAACAUCAAAUAUCUUAUUCUCACAAAACUGAAUUGAAAGGCAGGAAGAGGCCAGGUGCAGUGGCUCAGGCCUGUAAUCCCAACACUUUGGGAGGCCAAAGUGGGUGGAUCACUUGAGGUCAGGAGUUCGAGACCAGCCUGGCCAACAUGGUGAAACCACGUCUCUAGUGAAAAUACAAAAAAAUCAACUGGCCAUGGUGGUAUACACCGGUAAUCCCAGCUACUUGGGAGGCUAAGGCAGGAGAAUUACUUGAACCCGGGAGGCAGAGGUUGCAGUAAGCCAAGAUUGCACCAUUGCUCUCCAGCCUGGGCAACAAAAGCAAAACUCCAUCUCAAAGAAAAAAAAAAGGCAGGAAGAAAGGGAAAGGUGUAAGUGUUUUUGGCUGCUUGUGUGCAUGUGUGUGCAUUUGUGUAAUAAAAAAUGAAAUGUUUUCCUAAAGCCUACCAGCCAAUUUCUCCAUACAUCUUCCUGACCAGGAGAAUAAAAUUACUUGGCUUGGCCAGGCUGGGUCUACCUUCUCUGAGCGCAUUGCCCCCACCCUGUCUGCCCCCACUCCAUGCUAUCUGAAUAAAAUUAUGCUACUUGUAGCAAGAAGAAAGUGGGAAAGGUGUUGGGUGAGUGAAAACGUCUGUCACACUUCCUUCCCAGACAUUCCAUAGCAGAAGAUUCUCUUUUCAGAAGACAAUGCUGUCUUCCAAGAUCUUUGUCUCAGUAUCUGUUAACAGUAUGUGUGUGCGUCUCUGUGUGUGCACAUGCGUGUGGUUGUGUCUUGGGUGCUCAUAGUUUUGUUACUGGUGUAGCAUAUUCAAGUCAGAAAUAAGGAAAUCAGAAGGAAUGCUGCAGUAGUCAUUCUCGGCUGCUAUCUUGCACAUGGGACAGGGCAAGACAGUGUGAGGCUCCACAUAAAUUAGGAAGAAUGCAGGCUGAAGAUUUAGAUCUGGAUUCUAGCCCCCAGCUCUGCUACUUUCCAUCUGUGUUGCCUGGGUUAAGUUAUUUAAUCUUUUUGUUAUUAUUAAUUAGAUAUAGGGUCGGGCUCUGUUGCCCAGGCUGGAGUACAGUGGUGCAAUCAUAGCUCACUGCAGGCUCAAAUUCCUGGGCUCAAACAGUCCUCCUGCCUCAGCCUCCCAAGUAGCUAGGGCUAGGGCUACAGGCACAUGCCACCACACCUGGCUAAUUAAAAUUUUUUUUUUGUAGAGAUUGGGGUGGGGGGGUCUGUCUGUUUUGCUCAGGCUGGUCUUGAACUCCUGGCUUCAAACAAUCCUCCUGCCUUGGCCUCCCAGAGGGCUGGGAUUACAGACAUUUGCCACUGUGCUUGGCCAUUACUUAGACUUUCUAAGCCUCAAUUUUCUAAUCUGUAAAGCAAGAAGUUUGCACUAGGUGAUGUCUAAAGCUCUAAUAUUCUAUAAUACAUAUAUAUAUUUUUUGAGAUGGAGUCUCACUCUGUCACCCAGGCUGGAGUGCAGUGGCAUGAUCUCGGCUCACUGCAGCCCUCUGCCUCCCAAACUCAGUCUCCUGCCUCCCAAGCUCAGCCUCCUGCCUCCCAAGCUCAGCCUCCUGCCUCAGCCUUCCGGGUAGCUGGAACUAUAGGCAUGUGCCACCACGCCCAGCUAAUUUUUGUAUUUUUAGUAGAGAUAGUGUUUCACCAUGUUGGCCAGGCCGGUCUCGAACUCCUGGCCUCAAGUGAUCUGCCUGCCAGCCUCUCAAAGGGUUGGGAUUACAGGCAUGAGUGCCCAGCCAGUCUAUCACAUUAUUAAACCCAAAAAACCCUGCUCAAAUGCAUCUGCAUGCCAUAUGAAUGAGGGAGGUCAACAUUUUUUCUUGUAUAAGAGGAAUAAAACAUACUAUAACAAUUAGAUACAGAAUGUAAUGUAAGCAAAUUAUGGGCUCUUUUGAAAUGUCUUUAUUUUCAUUACAAACUGUCCUUUGAAUGAUUAUGCAUUAAGUGGCUUGUGUUUUACAUUUACAGCACAGCUCAUCUUUCAGAAUUUUCCUGCUAUUUCUGUUUUCUAUUUUAUUGGCAAUGCGUUUCUUUAUAACUGAGUGAAGAAUGUGGCAAGGCUGGGGAAAAUGUUUCUGCCUGUCUCUUUUUGCUCUCUCUCCCCCUCUGAACAGAAAUAGUAUCGUGGCAGUGCCUCUCUUUGUCUGUUAGGAAAAAAAAAAAAGCCAGGAAAAGGAAAUAACAGUGGGUGAUCUACUUUCCGAACAGCGUGAGAAAGAUCCAGAGAAUGUUAGUUUUGCACUGAAGCCGCUUCAACUUCUACUUUUCCAAUAUUACAGGAAGUUUCCUAGCAUUGAGAGGAAAAAGAAACAGUGGCCAGAUACUUUCUCCUAAAAAUAUACAGGAAGGACAAUGUGGAGGCCAAGACUAAUCUGGGUGAUGAGCUCCAGGCCUGCCUCAAAACAGGAGCUGAUGGGAGUGAGUUUCUGAUCUUCUUCCAAGGUUGUUUCAAUAUCCAAAGUAGGUCCUCCAUGGCAGCUGCUAUUCAAUCAGCCACAUUUCCUGAACUGGAUAUUUUUACUUUGCAGGAAAAAGAAAAACAAACCAAAAAAACCUAACUUGAUUAGGAAGGAGGUUGGAAGGUCACUUCAUAGUUAGAAACUAAGAUUAGUGCUUGUGACUUGGCUGGAUUUCCCAGAUGACUUACCAUUACCCUGUGCAUCAAUGAGCAAAGUAUUUAUUUUGCAUGAAGGGGAAGGGAGAAACUUCAUCAGCACAGGAUCCAGGCCCCACAGCCACGACCAGCUAAGGAUUCUCCCUUCAACCCGCAAGACGUAUUCUGAUUUGCUCACUCAUGAGACUGGAGCUGUGUCUUGAAGUAGAUCGCGCACAGUAGUUCAUUCCCAAGGCCAUAUUCCUGCUGGACGAUAGAGCUGGGCCUGCACUAAAGGUCUGUCAAUAUUGCCCCAAUAUGCUGAGGCCUAUCCUUCCUAAGAUAUGGCUUUGUCCACGGUCCUCCCCAGAAGGGGCUCUUGUAAGGCUCCCAAGGGAGUGAAAUUCAGACUCUGACCCAGAGACUCUCUUCACCUCAUCAUCUUCUCCUGGGAGUCUUCAUCCAAUAGUGGCAAUGUCAUUCUUCCCUUCUAGAAAGAGUUGUGCUGGCUGGGUGUGGUGGCUCACACCUGUAAUCGCAGCACUUUAGGAGGCCAAGGUGGGCAGAUCACUUGAGGUCAGGUGUUCGAGACCAGCCUGGGCAACAUAGUGAAACACCAACUGUACUAAAAAUACAAAAAUUAGUUGGGCGUGGUGGCAGGCGCCUGUAAUCCCAGCUACUCAGGAGGCUGAGGUAGGAGAAUCACUUGAACCCGGGAGGCGGGGGUUGCAGUGACCUGAGAUCGUGCCACUGUACUCCAGCCUAGGCAACAGAGCAAGACUACA
rnacentral:lncRNA from 10 species